ensembl:lncRNA
GCUACAGCUUCUCGUUUUUUGUGAAAAAGAUGAUACAGUAACUUCACUACUGUAGAACUUAUUUAUCUUUCUCUGUGUAACAGCUAUUAGUGAAGUCCCAAGGUCUAUUUGGAAGCAGAAACACAACUGUCCUGGGCCUGACCGGAGGAGAGUUUGGCUUCGGCUGCUGCCCUCAGCACGUUGGCAGAUCCUCAGACGCCGUCGUCUCUCCCUCCAUCGUCUUCUCACAUGCGAGGCCGAGCCAAGACGUGCUUCUGUCAACCUCCACAGCUCCGUGCCAUCAGCUGUGGGCCUCCCACUCUGACUACAGCCGACAGGGCCUUCCUCCAUCCGUUUAGGCUCGUUGGACAUAGUCGUUGUGAGGUUUUGGGGCUCAGAUGGAAGACACAUAGCACAGAGGUGCUGAAGAAGACGCGUUGUAAUCACAAAGAUGGAGGGAUGAUGUCAAUCACAGCAUCUACAGCGCAUGGAGGCCUCAAUGCAGCCAGAAUUGAACGAUCCUCGGUGUCAGAACAGGAGCCACCCUGCUUCUGCUUAGUCUGGAAACCAUUUCCUUUGCAGUCCGAUGGUCCCGACGUUGAUCUUGAGGACAGUCACUGGUGGAGUUCGUAUAUUUAUCGAAGCGCCAUCUCUCAUCUGAAUCCACGCCGUUUUCUUCACAAAAUUUUCUCUAAAUCCUGCUCUCACUUGGUCUUCCGCUCCGUUGUCAUGCGUCAAAACCAGCGUGAUGGUUUGACAGGACGGGCCCUAGAAACUUGCCGCUUCCCCACAGGCCCUCUGGAGUCUCUGCUCCCUCAUUGAACUGUUAUCUGCCCCAUUUCUGAGCUUUUCCAUGGCAACGAGGAGCCGGCGAGCAUGCGAGUGAAAAGAGCGAGGUCUCCAGUGCAAGCAGCAUCUUGUCUCAGACAGCUGUCUGCUAAAAAGACAAAGGAGAGGGGAGAAAAAGGGAAAGUUUGGAAAGUUGUUUUCUUUUCUUUAGCGCGAAAAACAAGGUGAAGCGAUGCAGCCGGCCGCACAGCGAUAUGCUGCACUCGGCUAAACCAGUGGACCCAUCACAGUCCUGCGGAUAUGGGUCACCGGCCUGCUUUUAAAAAUCCCAUAUUAUCGACAGCGACUGAUGAACUGAGAACAGCGGAGUUGUCAUUGUGAUCGGCUCGUAAGCGGCGCGUUCGCUGCAUCCACUGACUGACAGUACUCAAAGAUUCAUCGGUGGGACCCCCUCGGUGGAGGUAACCCACAUUUCACUCUAUUUUAGGCUUAAUGUCAGAUGUAAGGCCUCAGCAACACAUGUGGGUCUCUCCACCCAACGUGUAUCAAAUGCCGCCUGCUUCCCUGGAAAGCUAACGUGUACAUUUGCGCCUCCUCUCCAGGUUCUUCCCUUGGAUGUGGAGCGACAGGGCGACUUUAAAGUCGGGUUACGCCUGCGUCUGCCGUAGGAUUACACUGGAAUCCCAAUGGUUUUAAGCAGUCACACUCUGCCACUCAAAGCCGGGGCGUUUUCGUUCGGCGCAUUUAUUAAAGGAGCUUGGGAGCGCGCGGUGACAAGUGAGGCGUUUUGUAGAAACGAAAUGAGGGAUAGAACGGAACAGAAGCCGGCGACGGGGGUUUUUCCUUUUUCAAAAGUUCUCAUCUCACGACUUUUAAAGUCCGCUUAGGAAUGGAGUCACAAACGCGGCCGAGGGACGAGCCCGGCCCCCGGGGACCCGGUGGAGGAGGGGGGGGGGGGGGGGGGGGGGGGGGGGUGCGAGCAGCCGAAAGCAGCCUGUGACUGCGAGUGGCGAUAGCUGGGAUUCUGUGAGGA